rnacentral:rRNA from 1 species
UGUAAGCCUGUGAAGGUGUGCUGUGAGGCAUGCUGGAGGUAUCAGAAGUGCGAAUGCUGACAUAAGUAACGAUAAAGCGGGUGAAAAGCCCGCUCGCCGGAAGACCAAGGGUUCCUGUCCAACGUUAAUCGGGGCAGGGUGAGUCGACCCCUAAGGCGAGGCCGAAAGGCGUAGUCGAUGGGAAACAGGUUAAUAUUCCUGUACUUGGUGUUACUGCGAAGGGGGGACGGAGAAGGCUAUGUUGGCCGGGCGACGGUUGUCCCGGUUUAAGCGUGUAGGCUGGUUUUCCAGGCAAAUCCGGAAAAUCAAGGCUGAGGCGUGAUGACGAGGCACUACGGUGCUGAAGCAACAAAUGCCCUGCUUCCAGGAAAAGCCUCUAAGCAUCAGGUAACAUCAAAUCGUACCCCAAACCGACACAGGUGGUCAGGUAGAGAAUACCAAGGCGCUUGAGAGAACUCGGGUGAAGGAACUAGGCAAAAUGGUGCCGUAACUUCGGGAGAAGGCACGCUGAUAUGUAGGUGAAGUCCCUCGCGGAUGGAGCUGAAAUCAGUCGAAGAUACCAGCUGGCUGCAACUGUUUAUUAAAAACACAGCACUGUGCAAACACGAAAGUGGACGUAUACGGUGUGACGCCUGCCCGGUGCCGGAAGGUUAAUUGAUGGGGUCAGCGCAAGCGAAGCUCUUGAUCGAAGCCCCGGUAAACGGCGGCCGUAACUAUAACGGUCCUAAGGUAGCGAAAUUCCUUGUCGGGUAAGUUCCGACCUGCACGAAUGGCGUAAUGAUGGCCAGGCUGUCUCCACCCGAGACUCAGUGAAAUUGAACUCGCUGUGAAGAUGCAGUGUACCCGCGGCAAGACGGAAAGACCCCGUGAACCUUUACUAUAGCUUGACACUGAACAUUGAGCCUUGAUGUGUAGGAUAGGUGGGAGGCUUGGAAGUGUGGACGCCAGUCUGCAUGGAGCCGACCUUGAAAUACCACCCUUUAAUGUUUGAUGUUCUAACGUUGACCCGUAAUCCGGGUUGCGGACAGUGUCUGGUGGGUAGUUUGACUGGGGCGGUCUCCUCCUAAAGAGUAACGGAGGAGCACGAAGGUUGGCUAAUCCUGGUCGGACAUCAGGAGGUUAGUGCAAUGGCAUAAGCCAGCUUGACUGCGAGCGUGACGGCGCGAGCAGGUGCGAAAGCAGGUCAUAGUGAUCCGGUGGUUCUGAAUGGAAGGGCCAUCGCUCAACGGAUAAAAGGUACUCCGGGGAUAACAGGCUGAUACCGCCCAAGAGUUCAUAUCGACGGCGGUGUUUGGCACCUCGAUGUCGGCUCAUCACAUCCUGGGGCUGAAGUAGGUCCCAAGGGUAUGGCUGUUCGCCAUUUAAAGUGGUACGCGAGCUGGGUUUAGAACGUCGUGAGACAGUUCGGUCCCUAUCUGCCGUGGGCGCUGGAGAACUGAGGGGGGCUGCUCCUAGUACGAGAGGACCGGAGUGGACGCAUCACUGGUGUUCGGGUUGUCAUGCCAAUGGCACUGCCCGGUAGCUAAAUGCGGAAGAGAUAAGUGCUGAAAGCAUCUAAGCACGAAACUUGCCCCGAGAUGAGUUCUCCCUGACUCCUUGAGAGUCCUGAAGGAACGUUGAAGACGACGACGUUGAUAGGCCGGGUGUGUAAGCGCAGCGAUGCGUUGAGCUAACCGGUACUAAUGAACCGUGAGG